GGAGGGUUGUCCGAGUUGGUUAAAGGAGCAUGAUUGGAAAUCAUGUAGACGAGGAUUACUUGUCUCAAGGGUUCGAAUCCCUUACUCUCCG
rnacentral:tRNA from 1 species